UAAUGUCUGAUCAAAGAUGACCCUUCCGAAAAUAAGAAAAUAAAUGUUUGAAUAGACUUUUAAAAAUUUCGCCGCAUUUCGCCGUCCAAUCAUGCAUAAGGCGUGUUCCAGUGAUCCCCCAGGAUGAGGAAUCCGUCGUAUUUGGCUGCCGCCAGCUGCCGCUUUGAGAGUUACAUCAAUUUUUGUCCGAAAAAGUGAGGGCGGAAUUCGCUGUUUCUCUACAUCUUACUUGAUUAUCUUGGCGUCUUAAUACACUCAGUCGGAUUUUCAUUUUAAAACUUGAUGUACUUACAGUAUUUUCAUCGUAGAAUUCAAUUUUGACCUUACUUUUGCCCAUUUUUUGGCCAAAAUUCAUCAUUUGAUAGGUUCGCGAACUCGCGAUCGAGGCGGGGAAACAGAGCUGUUUUUGCUUUUAUCUUAUAUGAUUGUUUGGCCGAAAAUAAAAAUGUUGAAUGUUCUAUCAAUACCUUUGAAUGAAUUAUUCAUCAUAGAAGGGGUUACAUUCCCUGACCACUUCGCAGCCCAACCUCCCGAAGCGCUUGGCGCUUCAGGCGUGGUAUAUAUAAAAUCCUUUACAAAGCGUUGGAAGUGUCCCAGCUGAUUCUGAGACAUCGUGAUUCGUGAUAUGAGAUGGACCGAUUUACCGUGCAAUUUAAUCUCGUUGUUAGUGUUAUUGAUCUUUAAUUUUCCGUGUUUCGUGUUGUUCCGUGUUCCGUGUUUUCUGUUUGUUUAGAUAUAAUUCCUCAAAUAAGAAGAAAUCAAAAGUUCUCGAUCCUUAGGACAUCCACCGCGAGCUUUUGAUUUCAGAUCUUCAUGAAGAUAGCGGUGUCGAUCUUGAUGAAAGAGGGUACUACCACAAUUAAUCGGGGUACUACCACAAUGAAUUGGGGUAUCACCACAAUUAAUUGGAAUUGUCCAUAUCAUCCAACAGUUGGGACUAAACCCCUAUCUCUUUUUUUCAGUGUAGAAGGUAACGGUAAUACCAUAUUUUUUUCAUAAUCGAUAUAGAAAUAUGAGCAUUCAUUACAUUGAGAGAUCACAUAGUAUCGAUAAAAAUUGCUUCCUCAAUGAAAAUAUCACAGGAAAUCAAUAGUUGCAACAUAAAUUGUCAAUCGGAACAGAUAAAAUCUCUGCGUAAAUUUUCUUUGUGCAUUCCGAUCGAUUAUUGAAUAAAUCCUUCAAAAGCACGUAUGCAUGAGAAAAGAAUACCUAACAAAAUUAAGCUCAAAAAUUGGUUCUAAGGUGAAAGUAUGAUCGUGCAUCAACAAUUCAACACGUAUUUUUUACCAGAACGAGUUAAUUCUAUCUUCGAGUAACUUUUCUUUUCACAUAUUUCUACCUGAAGUUUAAAAAAAAAAGAAAAACCAAAGUAGUGUAAUUACGUUAACAUACAAACAAUUCUAAUGUCAAAAAUUAAUUCUACGUUCAAAAUACCAUGAUUGCACCAAAUUUCAACACGAAAUUUCGACAAGAAUGAGUAAAAUUUAUCUUUGAGCAACUUAUCUUUUUAUAAACUUUGUGAAUUUUCCAUUUUACCAGGUAAUACUUAUCUUUUUAUGUUUCCGCUGAAAGUUUGAAAACCCACAAAAAUCGUGCGUUUGCGUUAACAUAUCAAGAAAAGUAAGGUCAGAAAUGAAUUCUACGAUCAAAAUACCACAAGCCAGCGAAGUUUCAACACGAAAUGUCCACAGGAACGAGUGAAAUUUAUCUUUGAGUAACUUAUGUUUUCACGUGUCUACUGAAAGUUAAAAAGAACCCCCAAAAUUAUGUGUUUCCGUCAAUAAAUCAAGUAAAGUAAGGUCAAAAAUGAAUUCUACGAUCAAAAUACCAUUAGAUGCCCAAGUUUCAUCACGAAAUGCCCAUUGGAACGAGUGGAAUAGUCGAAACAAGUUGGGGAGCAAGGCGAUGACCGGGCAUUCCUAUGCUUCGCUCCACCGUGCGUCGUAAGCUAAAUACUUGCAAUAAUUAAUUUUUCAUUUGAAAGUAAACCUAAUUCCGUAUUUAAUGUGUCUACUCGAAGAAUAUUUUGUAAGUAUACGUGUAUAUCAAGCAAUAUUUUUGUCUCGUUUUUUUCGAAAAAACAAUAAAUGAGCGAAGAUCUUAAGCCGCUGCAAUCGAA